ACACGCAUGACACACUGCAUAUCAAUAAGCGGAGGAAAAGAAACUAACAAGGAUUCCCUUAGUAACGGCGAGUGAAGCGGGAAGAGCUCAAAUUUGAAAUCUUCAAGGUUUUACCUUGACGAAUUGUAGUUUAAAGAAGUGUUUUCUGUUGAAGUUUCGGUAAAAGUUCUUUGGAAUAGGACAUCAUAGAGGGUGAGAAUCCCGUAUUUGACUAUUCUCUCUAGCUUUGUGAUACACUUUCAACGAGUCGGAUUGUUUGGGAAUGCAGUCCAAAAUGGGUGGUAAAUUUCAUCUAAAGCUAAAUAUUGGCGAGAGACCGAUAGCGAACAAGUACCGUGAGGGAAAGAUGAAAAGAACUUUGAAAAGAGAGUUAAACAGUACGUGAAAUUGUCAAAAGGGAAGCGUUUGACACCAGUGUUGUUUUUCCGAAAAUCAAUUACAAAUGUUUUAUUUUUGAGGAGUUAUGACUUCAUCGGCUUGCUCCUUUCUUUAUGAAACUUUCUUAAUGCACUUUUCGGUUAACAAGUCAACAUCAAUUUCUUUUGUUGUAAAAGGGUAUGAGGAAGGUGGCUUUCUUUUCGGAGAAAGUGUUUAUAGCCUUGUGCCUCUGCAAUCGGAGAGAUUGAGGUCUGCAGCGUAGAUCCUUCGGGGUUAGAUACGUUUGUGCUAAGUUAUAGCUUUUCAUAGACAACUUGUUGACUAUGUUUAGUCUUGUAGCUUACUCGCUUACGCUAUUUUACCUACGCUUAGGAUGUUGACUGAUAUGUAGUCGUA
rnacentral:rRNA from 1 species